UGACAAUGGCUGUGCUGACUCUAGGAACCGAAACGCGCGGGGCACCCACGGCCGCUGGGACAACCACAAAUGCCCCUCCACUGGCUUCCAGGUACUGUCUCGGCUCAGCCCUCCCUAGGGCGAAGUGGAAACAGCAUGAGGCGAGUUUGGCAAGGUUUUCAGAGAUGUCAACAUUCCCUGAACACCAGAUAGAGAAACAGUAUCUGUUUUCUUUAAGCAGGAAUCCACAGAGGCAGGACAAAGGUCCAGAGAUACCUGCUUUGAUGAAGAGUACGGCAACAGUUUCCACUACAACCAUUUUUAUUUUCGUACUGGCCAUUUCCUCAUUUUUCCUCCCACCUUCCUUCCUUCCUUCCUUCCUCCGCUCUGUGUGGGCACUCCCUGUGCAGCUGACCUAACAGAGGGGCUGAGCCAAGUGCACAGUGCGACACGCUGUUGAGUAGAGGAAGGUGUUAAUCCACAUCAUGGCCUGUUGAGAGAAUUUCUAUUCAUCGAAUCAUCACAAGAGUAAUACCUGCUAAGAUAAAAAGUGAUCACAAUAGAGCAGGCAAGUUACCUGCAUCAACAGUCACGAAUGUUCACAAAGGUCCCUGGGAGGUCUUCACAGAACACCAAGCUGAGCUCCCUGCACUAUAUACAGCAGUUUCCCACUAGCUGUCUGCUUUAUACAUGGUCUUGAUGCUUCCAGAAAAUCCAGGAAGAGGCAGAAGGGCAGCUUAUUUGGAGCUCUGAGGCUUGUUGUAGAGCUCUAUGCACACGGUUCUGGCUCUCACCAUCAGUCUGCCUUCCAGUUCUGAAAGCACAACCAGCUGUCAGCUAUAUCACGGUCUGAGGAUCCAUCCAGGGACAGCGGCCAGGCCUUGGGUGCGAAGCUGCCCGAGUCGGGGUGCCAGCCUUCCCUCACAUCUCCUCCACCCAUAUCACUGUGGUAAACAGCCCCACGUGUGCUCUCCGGUGGCCAGGCUUGUCAACACCUCGCUGAGAGGUCAGGAAGCCACUUGGCCAGCCCCGGGAGGCAGCUGAGAGGGCCCACUUCCUCGGCCUGCUCCCCAACCAGCAACACGGUUUCCUUCCAAGGGCUUCAGGACUGAGGCCUCCAUUGCAUGGUGAAGCUACUGAACCAAAGCUACCAGUAAUAAACUUCAAUU
ensembl:lncRNA